rnacentral:rRNA from 1 species
GUCGAGCGGUAGCACAGAGAGCUUGCUCUCGGGUGACGAGCGGCGGACGGGUGAGUAAUGUCUGGGAAACUGCCUGAUGGAGGGGGAUAACUACUGGAAACGGUAGCUAAUACCGCAUAACGUCGCAAGACCAAAGUGGGGGACCUUCGGGCCUCAUGCCAUCAGAUGUGCCCAGAUGGGAUUAGCUAGUAGGUGGGGUAACGGCUCACCUAGGCGACGAUCCCUAGCUGGUCUGAGAGGAUGACCAGCCACACUGGAACUGAGACACGGUCCAGACUCCUACGGGAGGCAGCAGUGGGGAAUAUUGCACAAUGGGCGCAAGCCUGAUGCAGCCAUGCCGCGUGUAUGAAGAAGGCCUUCGGGUUGUAAAGUACUUUCAGCGGGGAGGAAGGCGAUAAGGUUAAUAACCUUGUCGAUUGACGUUACCCGCAGAAGAAGCACCGGCUAACUCCGUGCCAGCAGCCGCGGUAAUACGGAGGGUGCAAGCGUUAAUCGGAAUUACUGGGCGUAAAGCGCACGCAGGCGGUCUGUCAAGUCGGAUGUGAAAUCCCCGGGCUCAACCUGGGAACUGCAUUCGAAACUGGCAGGCUAGAGUCUUGUAGAGGGGGGUAGAAUUCCAGGUGUAGCGGUGAAAUGCGUAGAGAUCUGGAGGAAUACCGGUGGGGAAAGCGGCCCCCUGGACAAAGACUGACGCUCAGGUGCGAAAGCGUGGGGAGCAAACAGGAUUAGAUACCCUGGUAGUCCACGCCGUAAACGAUGUCGAUUUGGAGGUUGUGCCCUUGAGGCGUGGCUUCCGGAGCUAACGCGUUAAAUCGACCGCCUGGGGAGUACGGCCGCAAGGUUAAAACUCAUAUGAAUUGACGGGGGCGCGCACAAGCGGUGGAGCAUGUGGUUUAAUU